rnacentral:rRNA from 1 species
GAACGGUGAUUCCAGCUUGCUGGGGGAUUAGUGGCGACCGGGUGAGUAACACGUGAGUAACCUGCCCUUGACUCUGGGUUAAGCCUGGGAAACUGGGUCUAAUACCGGAUAUGACUGUCUGACGCAUGUCAGGUGGUGUGAAGGUUUUGUGGUUUUGGAUGGACUCGCGGCCUAUCAGCUUGUUGGUGGGGUAAUGGCCUACCAAGGCGACGACGGGUAGCCGGCCUGAGAGGGUGACCGGCCACACUGGGACUGAGACACGGCCCAGACUCCUACGGGAGGCAGCAGUGGGGAAUAUUGCACAAUGGGCGCAAGCCUGAUGCAGCGACGCCGCGUGAGGGAUGACGGCCUUCGGGUUGUAAACCUCUUUCAGUAGGGAAGAAGCGAAAGUGACGGUACCUGCAGAAGAAGCGCCGGCUAACUACGUGCCAGCAGCCGCGGUAAUACGUAGGGCGCAAGCGUUAUCCGGAAUUAUUGGGCGUAAAGAGCUCGUAGGCGGUUUGUCGCGUCUGCUGUGAAAGACCGGGGCUCAACUCCGGUUCUGCAGUGGGUACGGGCAGACUAGAGUGCAGUAGGGGAGACUGGAAUUCCUGGUGUAGCGGUGAAAUGCGCAGAUAUCAGGAGGAACACCGAUGGCGAAGGCAGGUCUCUGGGCUGUAACUGACGCUGAGGAGCGAAAGCAUGGGGAGCGAACAGGAUUAGAUACCCUGGUAGUCCAUGCCGUAAACGUUGGGCACUAGGUGUGGGGGACAUUCCACGUUUUCCGCGCCGUAGCUAACGCAUUAAGUGCCCCGCCUGGGGAGUACGGCCGCAAGGCUAAAACUCAAAGGAAUUGACGGGGGCCCGCCCAAGCGGCGGUGCAAUGCGGGUUAAUUUUAUGCAACGCGAAGAACCUUACCAAGGCUUGACAUGAACCGGAAAGACUUGGAAACAGKGCCCCGCUUGCGGUCGGUUUACAGGUGGUGCAUGGUGUCGUCAGCUCGKGUCGUGAGAUGUGGGUUAGUCCCSCAACGAG